UACGAAGGGGGCUAGCGUUGCUCGGAAUCACUGGGCGUAAAGGGUGCGUAGGCGGGUUUUUAAGUCAGGGGUGAAAUCCUGGAGCUCAACUCCAGAACUGCCUUUGAUACUGAAGAUCUUGAGUCCGGGAGAGGUUAGUGGAACUGCGAGUGUAGAGGUGAAAUUCGUAGAUAUUCGCAAGAACACCAGUGGCGAAGGCGGCUCACUGGCCCGUUUCUGACGCUGAGGCACGAAAGCGUGGGGAGCAAACAGG
rnacentral:rRNA from 1 species